UACGUAGGUGGCAAGCGUUGUCCGGAUUUAGCUGGGCGUAAAGAGCGCGCAGGCGGUCAGAUAAAGUCGGAAUGUGAAAGCCCCCCGGCUCAACUGGGGGAGGGUCAUUCGAUACUGUUCGACUCGAAGGUAGGAGAGGGAAGUGGAAUUCCCGGUGUAGUGGUGAAAUGCGUAGAGAUCGGGAGGAACACCUGUGGCGAAGGCGACGGACUGGAUCUCUCGAC
rnacentral:rRNA from 1 species